rnacentral:rRNA from 1 species
GGCUUAGAGUUUGAUCAUGGCUCAGGAUGAACGCUAGCUACAGGCUUAACACAUGCAAGUCGAGGGGCAUCAGGAAGAAAGCUUGCUUUCUUUGCUGGCGACCGGCGCACGGGUGAGUAACACGUAUCCAACCUGCCCUUUACUCGGGGAUAGCCUUUCGAAAGAAAGAUUAAUACCCGAUAGCAUAAUGAUUCCGCAUGGUUUCAUUAUUAAAGGAUUCCGGUAAAGGAUGGGGAUGCGUUCCAUUAGGUUGUUGGUGAGGUAACGGCCCACCAAGCCUUCGAUGGAUAGGGGUUCUGAGAGGAAGGUCCCCCACAUUGGAACUGAGACACGGUCCAAACUCCUACGGGAGGCAGCAGUGAGGAAUAUUGGUCAAUGGGCGCUAGCCUGAACCAGCCAAGUAGCGUGAAGGAUGAAGGCUCUAUGGGUCGUAAACUUCUUUUAUAUAAGAAUAAAGUGCAGUAUGUAUACUGUUUUGUAUGUAUUAUAUGAAUAAGGAUCGGCUAACUCCGUGCCAGCAGCCGCGGUAAUACGGAGGAUCCGAGCGUUAUCCGGAUUUAUUGGGUUUAAAGGGAGCGUAGGUCGACUGGUAAGUCAGUUGUGAAAGUUUGCGGCUCAACCGUAAAAUUGCAGUUGAUACUGUCAGUCUUGAGUACAGUAGAGGUGGGCGGAAUUCGUGGUGUAGCGGUGAAAUGCUUAGAUAUCACGAAGAACUCCGAUUGCGAAAGCAGCUCACUGGACUGCAACUGACACUGAUGCUCGAAAGUGUGGGUAUCAAACAGGAUUAGAUACCCUGGUAGUCCACACAGUAAACGAUGAAUACUCGCUGUUUGCGAUAAACAGUAAGCGGCCAAGCGAAAGCAUUAAAUAUUC